rnacentral:rRNA from 1 species
AUUGAACGCUGGCGGCAUGCCUUACACAUGCAAGUCGAACGGCAGCACGGGUGCUUGCACCUGGUGGCGAGUGGCGAACGGGUGAGUAAUACAUCGGAACGUACCUUAUCGUGGGGGAUAACGCAGCGAAAGCUGUGCUAAUACCGCAUACGCCCUGAGGGGGAAAGCGGGGGAUCGAAAGACCUCGCGCGAUUAGAGCGGCCGAUGCCUGAUUAGCUUGUUGGUGCGGGAAAAGCCCACCAAGGCGACGAUCAGUAGCUGGUCUGAGAGGACGAUCAGCCACACUGGGAGUGGGACACGGCCCAGGCUCCUACGGGAGGCAGCAGUGGGGGAUUUUGGACAAUGGGGGCAACCCUGAUCCAGCAAUGCCGCGUGAGUGAAGAAGGCCUUCGGGUUGUAAAGCUCUUUUGUCAGGGAAGAAACACCGGCUCUAACACAGUCCGGGAAUGACGGUACCUGAAGAAUAAGCACCGGCUAACUACGUGCCAGCCGCCGCAGUAA